CGAAAUCACAACUAUCCAACUCUUAUAAGAGUACCGCCAAUUCAUGGUCAAAUCCGCGGUAGCACCUGAAGCAACUAGAACAAUACCCGUCUCUCCAGUUUCAACAGAUGAAGAAGCAAUAAUAACACUAUUAAUCGUGAUGUUCGAUAGAACCACAUGGACUUUGCCAAGAACUGGGAUUUUCACAUGCUUCUCUAUGUCUGGCAGUUGAAGUGGAAUCAUGGAGGAUACUGCCCUUUUUAUUAGAAAAUCCUUAGCAAAAUCAAUACCUUCAUCGGAUAAGAGCAGAGAUAUAUAUCCUUGUUCAUUGGAUUGGAGAUGGUUACUUGCAGGAAUCAAUAAAAAUGACAAAACUAAGAAGAAAAUAGGGGGUGCCAUGAAAUUCAAGAAGAUACCCAUGUAAACCCACAGGGAGAAGCAGUUUAAAAAAAGAUUUUUUUGCGAAAGAGACCGGAGGAGGGCGUUAUGUGCACGGACCAGGUUUAAAGCUUUUGGAUUCUAAUCCAUUACUUUGAUUUGCAGUCGGCUUGGAUUUUUAAGACACUUGGGCUGGCGGCAGGAACCACGCGCGUCUAGCUCGCGUUACAGAUAUCAUCAGUUACAGAGAGCAUUCACAUGAGAGAUGGAUUCUAACA
rnacentral:misc_RNA from 1 species